rnacentral:lncRNA from 1 species
UCCUCUGUCGCGCUUGGGGGCUUGUUGUCGAGUUCCAUUUGUUCUUUGUUGAAGGAGCAUUCUGCUAAAAAGUCAGCAAGAGCUUGGGCUUUGAUGGUUUUCCGCGGUUGGUAUUCUAAGCAAUAUGGACUAAUUUCAACAGGCCAAGCUAGAAUUCGCCCUGACGUCUCUAGCCUAUGGAGGAUCUUCUUCAAGGGCUGAUCUGUCAUUACCACUCCUUGGUGGCUCUCCAGGUAUACUCUGAAUUUCCUUACUACAAGCAACAAGGCGUAUGCCAACUUCUCUAUGUUUAAAUAUCUGAUCUCGG